rnacentral:rRNA from 1 species
AGCGAACGCUGGCGGCGUACUUAACACAUGCAAGUCGAACGAAGGAUCAUCGGUGUAGCAAUACAUCGGCGGUCCUAGUGGCGUACGGGUGAGUAACACGUGGGCAACCUGCCCUCGAGCUCGGGAUAACCUUUCGAAAGGAAGGCUAAUACCGGAUACGUUCCUCGGGUCGCGAGACCUGGGGAGGAAAGGUGGCGCAAGCUACCGCUCUUGGAGGGGCUCGCGGCCUAUCAGCUAGUUGGUGAGGUAACGGCUCACCAAGGCUAUGACGGUAGCUGGUCUGAGAGGACGACCAGCCACACGGGAACUGAGACACGGUCCC